rfam:Ciona savignyi cont_31788, whole genome shotgun sequence.
UCCCGGUUAGCUCAGCCGGUAGAGCGUUGGACUUUUAAUCCAAAGGCCAAGGUUUCAAGUCCCUUAUCGGGCU